GAUCAUGGUGGAGUGCAAGGGAAACACUUGAAUGAGAAAAGCUGGAAACAAUGAAUGAGAAAAGGGGAAACCAAAGACUUCAAUUGAGCUUUACAAAAACUGGGUUGCUUUGAAGAUCAAAAAUGAGUUUCUGUUGAAUUACUAGGUAGGGAAACCAGAGUGAGUGAACAGUUAUGAAGCAUACUUUCAGCUCAGUGUUUACUUGAAAUUUUAAAUAUUUAAGUUAGAAACUGCGAGUGCAGCCAGGACUGGUGGCAUGUGCCUGUAAUCCUAAUCCCUGGGAGAUGGAAACAUAACAGCCACGAGGCCUUCCAGGCCAAAGUCAACUACCCACAACCUAGAGACAAGGAAAGAAAGAAAGAAGAAAAGGAGAGAGAGAGAGAGAGAGAGAGAGAGAGAGGAAAGAGAGAAAGGAAAGAGAGGAAAGAGAGAGAAGGAAGGAAGGGAAAGAGAGAGAAGCAAAGAAAGAAAGAAGAGAGAGAGAGAGAGAGAGAGAGAGAGAGAAACCUGAUCUGAAAAUCAUUACAGUUGUCCAAAUUAAGACUUACUUGUUAGAGUGGCAAAACCGGAGUGUGAUUUCAAGUUUGAUGGAAGAGUGUUUUGCUCUGUUUUAUAAAAUAAGCAUCUAAAAUACCUAGACAUAAAGAGUGAUGGUUUCUACUGUUUGCCAUGGUAAUGUUUUAAAAUGUUGAUUAGUAUCAGAAAAUGGAUUGCAAAGAUAGUCUUACAUUUGAGAGAAGAAUUGUUACUUGCUAAAAAUAAUUUGAAAUGUUAUAGAAAAUACUGCCUGCAGAAUGUAGUUUGACUGGUAGAUUUCCUUAAACCACUUUUAUAAUUAUAUUCCAAGACAGCUUACUGGCAAAGGACUAGUGGGUGGGCGGCUCAAAUCAGGGCUAUAGAUGAUAAGUUGCUAAACACUUGUGCUUUUACCAAUAAUCAAAACCAAAUUAGGGUAAUCAUUUUUAAAAUUAUAUUUCAUGAGAGUAAAAGUUAAGUCAUUUUCUUAUCAUAUAAAAAGCAGUUAGAAGUAUUUUAAAGAAAUGAUUUUACUGUCCAAAUUCAAUUGUUAUUUUUUAUUUCUAUGAACUAAACUGGCACAUUUAAGCUUCCUGCUGUGGUGUUAGUAAAAGUUCUAGUCAGUGGCUCC
rnacentral:lncRNA from 1 species